rnacentral:rRNA from 1 species
UCGGUAAUUCCAGCUCCAAUAGUGUAUAUUAAAGUUGUUGCAGUUAAAAAGCUCGUAGUUGAACUUCUGGCAGUGUGCAGAUAUGGCUACGGUCAGUCUGUUCGCUGUCAUCCGUCUGCAAACCUCGUACGUCCUUGAGUGGUUCGGCGAGGGGAGUAGACAUUUUACUUUGAAAAAAUUAGAGUGUUUCAAGCAGGCUUUUGCCAGAAUACUUUAGCAUGGAAUAAUGGAAUAGGACUUCUGUCCAUUUGGUUGGUUAUUGGCCAGGAGUAAUGAUUAAUAGGGACAGUUGGGGGCAUUAGUAUUUAAUUGUCAGAGGUGAAAUUCAUGGAUUUAUUAAAGACUAACUUAUGCGAAAGCAUUUGCCAAGGAUGUUUUCAUUAAUCAAGAACGAAAGUUAGGGGAUCAAAGACGAUCAGAUACCGUCCUAGUCUUAACUAUAAACGAUGUCGACUCGGGAUUGGAAGGGUUCCUUUUAUCCCUUCCAGCACCGUAUGAGAAAUCAUUAAGUCUUUGGAUUCUGGGGGGAGUAUGGUCGCAAGGCUGAAACUUAAAGGAAUUGACGGAAGAGCACCACCAGGCGUGGGACCUGCGGCUUAAUUUGACAACACAGGAAAACUUAUUUCAGCAAAACAUGAGUGGGAUUGACAGAUUGAGAGCUCUUUCUUGAUUUUAUGGGGUGUGGUGCAUGGCCGUUCUUAGUUGGUGGAGUGAUUUGUCUGGUUAAUUCCGUUAACGAACGAGACCUUAACCUGCUAACUAGUCAGCCUGUGAUCAACAGGUGGCACUUCUUAGAGGGACUAUGGGUUAUAAGCCCAUGGAAGUUUGAGGCAAUAGCAGGUCUGUGAUGCCCAUAGAUGUUGAAAGCGGCACGCGCGUCAUACUGUCCAGUAACAGCAAGUUUCAUCCUCUCCCGGAAGGGUAGGGGUAAUCUAUAAAACUGGACGUGGUAGGGAUAGAUCUUUGGAAUUAUAGAUCUUGAACGAAGAAUGCCUAGUAAGUGCAAGUCAUCAACUUGUGCUGAUUACGUCCCUGUCCUUUGUACACACCGCCCGUCACUCCUACCGAUUGAGCGAUAUGGUGAACCUCCUGGACUGUGGGGCUCCUCGCGGGCUUCGCGGAAAGUUUAGUAAACCUUAUCGCUUAGAGGAAGGAGAAGUCGUAACAAGGUAGCCGU